GCGACCGCCCUCAGCCUCAGUCUCCUAAUCCUUGAAAGGUCCACGGUGGCUGCAGACGAAAUAUGAAUGAUGUAACCUCCCAGGAUUGCCAAGGUGGGGUCCUCCUUGCACCAGCCGGCCUUGGAGACAAUUAACCAGCACCUUUCCCUCCUUCUUGCCCUCCCGUCCGCCCCUAGAGCAGCCCAUCCAAGCAGGGGUGGUGGCUGCCCGUAGUUUUCGCAGCUGCUUCUCAGUGUCUUCAGCCAGGAUUGAGCAGACCCGGCGACACCAGGCUCUCCACGGAGUCCUUCAGGCCAGAUGCCUUGAUUUUCCUUCCCAAGGGGCCUGAUGUCAUCUUGGGAACAGCCAGGAAAGGGCAGGAGUCAGGGAGGAGUUAUUUCCACUGCUGUCCCGCCCUCGCCUGCUUCCCCCGCCCCCCGCCCCGCCCUGCCCCGCCCCGCCCCUGACAUGGCUCUGGAACCUCCCACAGCCUCUCCUCCCACUCGCUCCCCCCACCCCCCACCCCCCCAUCCCCAGGCCCUGCCCUGGGCCAGCACAGUCUGUGUGAAUGUCUAAUCUCCAAUUUUAUUCUGCUGGGCUACAGCCCAUUUGCAUAAUCCACACAGGCACCCUGGUUUUAAUUGCCCACAACUCUGCAGAAAGAUCAUGUGGUUAAGUGGUAAAUCAUAAUUAGAUAAAUAAUUGGUUUGGCCACAGCAAGCUGCUUCUGUUUCACCUGCCAUCUGCCGGACCCGGUUUCUCUUCUGGCCGGAACAAUGCGCUUCUGAUGACAGAGCACAGUGCUGCUCCCUUGUGGGGGUGGAGGGGGCUGAGCGGAGGGGCUUGGAAGCCGAGCCUGGAAAAGUGCCCGAUUGCUGGGGUCUCUUUCCCCAAGCCAGGCAAGCCCCACACUUGCCAUUCAUCACCCUGUGUGGGUAAUGGGGACAGAGGUGGCGGGGGUGGAGUGGGGAGAGUUUUGGAUCCUCUGCAGAAAGGGAGGCUUGGGUCUGAGCAGAGGGCCCCCCCCCCCCCCGGACUGGCUUUCUUGGACCUGGGAUCACCUGUGUAGGGCCGACCUGGGGCCUUAUUCCUUGGGGCUCCAAGGGAGUUGGUGGGCAGAGCUGGAACAGGCAGGUCUCCUCCCUGCC
rnacentral:lncRNA from 1 species